GGAUGSGUCCAUAGGCAGUAGCSGRGUACCGGCCCCACCUUACCUACGAUGGAUAGGGUCUGAGAGGAAGGUCCCCCCACCAUUGGAAMUGAGACMCGGUCCAAACUCCUACCGGAGGCAGCAGUGAGGAAUAUGGUCAAUGGGCGUAAGCCUGAACCAGCCAAGUAGCGUGAAGGAUGACGGUCCUAWGGAUUGUAAACUUCUUUAUACGCGAUUAAAAAUAUCCACUAGUGGUUAUUAUUGCAAUUAGCGUAUGAAUAAGCAUCGGCUAACUCCGUGCCAGCAGCCGCGGUAAUACGGAGGAUGGGAGCGUUAUCCGGAUUUAUUGGGUUUAAAGGGAGCGUAGAUUGUAUGUUAAGUCAGUUGUAAAAUACAGGAGCCCAACUCCUGGGAGCAGUUGAAACUGGCAUACUCGAGUAGGGUGGAGGCAGAUGGAAUUCGUGGUGUAGCGGUGAAAUGCAUAGAUAUCACGAAGAACUCCGACAGCGAAAGCAUUCUGCCACAGCCUAACUGACAUUGAUGCUCGAAAGUGCGGGUAUCAAACAGGAUUAGAUACCCUGGUAGUCCGCACGGUAAACGAUGAGUGCUCGUCCUUGGAGAUAUACAUUCAGGGUCUUAGCGAAAGCGUUAAGCACUCCACCUGGGGAGUACGCCGGCAACGGUGAAACUCAAAUGAAUUGACGG
rnacentral:rRNA from 1 species